GAAAAGAAACCAACAGGGAUUGCCCUAGUAACGGCGAGUGAAGCGGCAACAGCUCAAAUUUGAAAUCUGGCCUCGGCCCGAGUUGUAAUUUGCAGAGGAUGUUUCUGGCGCGGUGCCUUCCGAGUUCCCUGGAACGGGACGCCACAGAGGGUGAGAGCCCCGUAUGGUUGGACACCAAGCCUGUGUGAAACUCCUUCGACGAGUCGAGUAGUUUGGGAAUGCUGCUCAAAAUGGGAGGUAAAUCUCUUCUAAAGCUAAAUACCGGCCAGAGACCGAUAGCGCACAAGUAGAGUGAUCGAAAGAUGAAAAGCACCUUGAAAAGGGGGUUAAACAGUACGUGAAAUUGUUGAAAGGGAAGCGCUUGUGACCAGACUUGCGCCGGGCGGUUCAUCCGGGGUUCUCCCCGGUGCACUCCGCCCGGCUCAGGCCAGCAUCGGUUCUCGUUGGGGGAUAAGAACGACAGGAACGUGGCCCUCCUUCGGGUGGGUGUUAUAGCCUGUCGUACGAUACCCUGACGGGGACCGAGGUUCGCGCUCCGCAAGGAUGCUGG
rnacentral:rRNA from 1 species